rnacentral:rRNA from 1 species
AUUGAACGCUGGCGGCAUGCCUUACACAUGCAAGUCGAACGGUAACAGGUCUUCGGAUGCUGACGAGUGGCGAACGGGUGAGUAAUACAUCGGAACGUGCCUAGUAGUGGGGGAUAACUACUCGAAAGAGUGGCUAAUACCGCAUGAGAUCUACGGAUGAAAGCAGGGGAUCGCAAGACCUUGUGCUACCAGAGCGGCCGAUGGCAGAUAAGGUAGUUGGUGGGAUAAAAGCUUACCAAGCCGACGAUCUGUAGCUGGUCUGAGAGGACGAUCAGCCACACUGGGACUGAGACACGGCCCAGACUCCUACGGGAGGCAGCAGUGGGGAAUUUUGGACAAUGGGCGAAAGCCUGAUCCAGCAAUGCCGCGUGCAGGAUGAAGGCCUUCGGGUUGUAAACUGCUUUUGUACGGAACGAAAAGCCCUGGGUUAAUACCCUGGGGUCAUGACGGUACCGUAAGAAUAAGCACCGGCUAACUACGUGCCAGCCGCCGCCGUAA